UCCUACGGGGGCAGCAAUCGAGAAUCAUUCACAAUGGGGGAAACCCUGAUGGUGCGACGCCGCGUGGGGGAAUGAAGGUCUUCGGAUUGUAAACCCCUGUCAUGUGGGAGCAAAUUAAAAAGAUAGUACCACAAGAGGAAGAGACGGCUAACUCUGUGCCAGCAGCCGCGGUAAUACAGAGGUCUCAAGCGUUGUUCGGAAUCACUGGGCGUAAAGCGUGCGUAGGCUGUUUCGUAAGUCGUGUGUGAAAGGCGCGGGCUCAACCCGCGGACGGCACAUGAUACUGCGAGACUAGAGUAAUGGAG
rnacentral:rRNA from 1 species